rnacentral:tRNA from 1 species
UCCCUUGUAGCUUAGUCGGUAAAGAGUCUGCCUGCAGUGCAGGAGAUCUGGGUUCAAUCCCUGGGUCGGGAA